CCUACGGGGUGCAGCAGUGGGGGAUAUUGCACAAUGGGGGGAACCCUGAUGCAGCGACGCCGCGUGGGUGAAGAAGCGCCUCGGCGCGUAAAGCCCUGUCAGUAGGGAAGAAAAUGACGGUACCUGAAGAAGAAGCCCCGGCUAACUACGUGCCAGCAGCCGUGGUAAUACGUAGGGGGCAAGCGUUAUCCGGAUUUACUGGGUGUAAAGGGGGCGCAGACGGCGAUGAAAGCCAGGAGUGAAAGCCCGGGGCUCAACCCCGGGACUGCUCUUGGAACUGCGUGGCUGGAGUGCAGGAGGGGCAGGCGGAAUUCGUGGUGUAGCGGUGAAAUGCGUAGAUAUCAGGAGGAACACCGGUGGCGAAGGCGGCCUGCUGGACUGCAACUGACGUUGAGGCCCGAAAGCGUGGGGAGCAAACAGGAGUAGAUACCCGAGUAGUC
rnacentral:rRNA from 1 species